rnacentral:rRNA from 1 species
UACAUGGGGUGCAAACGUUGCUCGGAAUCAUUGGGCGUAAAGCGCGCGUAGGCGGUUGCUUAAGUCGGAUGUGAAAGCCCUCGGCUUAACUGAGGAAGUGCAUCCGAAACUGAGCAGCUAGAGUACGAAAGAGGGUCGCGGAAUUCCCGGUGUAGAGGUGAAAUUCGUAGAUAUCGGGAGGAACACCGGUGGCGAAGGCGGUUGCCUGGAGCUUUGCUGACGCUGAGGCGCGAAAGCGUGGGGAGCGAUCCGG